AACGCCCAAAAAUAUCUUAGCGGCUAAAAUACUCCGUGCUCGGCGGUUCUUUCUCUAACCCUAGCGGCCUCAUUCUUUUCGCCUCGUUCUGAUCUCUUGGUAAAUUAUCUUUUCUGUGGGCAUGCGUCGUUGUUGGUCUGUGGGCAUACAUUUUGUGAUUUGAGGAACUACCAAUCUCUUCCCCUAGACGCCAAUCUCUCGCCUUUCUUUCUUUGCCAUGCAAGAUUUAGGGUUUUGAAGGUUGUCGACUGCUCCACCGCAACGGAAAUAGUGGAAAGGAGGGUUCUUUCGGAGUGGGAGUUGCCGAUUUGUGAGUGACUAUUUCCGGAUUCGGUCUUACAGGUGGAAAAGGGCAACUUUUUUUUCGCUUCUUUGAGCUUCCCGAAUUCGAUUGCCGAUUCUUGGUGGUGGUGUGGCUUUUCCGAGUGCGAUGGUGGAAAGCAACGCGGUGAACGCCUGUGAGUCAAAGUUUUUAUCCCCAUUUGCCUGAUGGGUUUUUCAACCAGUUCGUGCAUUCCAAAGAGAAUAAAACUUGUUGGUCUCUGAUUCGCUCAAAAGAAGUCACAGAAAAGUUUGAUAUUUUCACAGUCCAAACAAGAAUUUUGAAUCCUUGAUGCAAUAACUACAAUCAACAAAGAGUAAACACUUCAGACUCAGAGGAAGAAAUCAAACUAAGGAUCAGCAUUCUGAAUCUGGUAGGAAGUGUCAUAUAUCAGCAGCUAAAUUGAUGGAAAUUGAAAUAACAUUUGUCAAUUUUCUUUUCCUUUAUUACUUGAGGAGUUUAGUUUGUCUAUGACACACCAUAUUCUCUUUGAUAGUUUUUCUUGCUGAAAAUUUAUCAACUUACAUUUAAUUAUUAUUAUUUUUACAA